rnacentral:lncRNA from 10 species
GAAGUGGUGGCAGUGAUGGUCCACGAGAAGAUACUGAGUUUAAUUUAGGUUACAUUGCGGUCGAGGCUUCUGAGGGAUGCUAGGUAGAGAUGUCCAGGAGGUAGUUGGUUGUAAUGAACAUGAAACUUAGGAGAGUGAUAGGUGAGAGGGUGAGAGAGUCAUCAGCUUAUCAAACCACAGCCAUAGGAGGGGAGAAGGAGCUGGCUUUAGGAGUGUAUGUAUAUUGAGACAAAAACUCUGGGGAACUCCAACAGGAGAGUGGUGUCAGAAGCAGAGAAAGAGGAUCUCCUGAAGGAAAUUGUCCACAGAAAGGGAGUGGCCAGAAAGGUAAGAGGAACAGGAGAGAAGUGAGUUUCAAGGAGAGUGUGACACACAUUGUAGAUUAUGCAGAGGUCAAAUAAGGCAAAGACUACAGAUGUCCAAAAUAAAGGUUACUGCUACUGGAACAUUUUCAGUGGAGUUGUGGGAAGUGAAUGGAAAGUGCAGAAGAGGAGUCAGUGACCUUUGGAACUUGGACUUUGAAGGAAGAGAGAGGAGGAAGACAGGUGAAGAAGGGUGGGGAGAGUUUUGUUUAUGUAUUGUAACACAGGAGAGACUUGAGCAUGUUUAUUUUAAGUGCUGUUUUGAAAGAGCCAGUAGAGAAGGAAGAUAUAAUACAAUUCAAAGACGGGGAGAAAAAUUGAUGGAGCAUGGGCUCUAGAGUCAAAAGUUGUGUCUUUUAGAAAGAUCAGAGGGUUAAAAAUAAGAAUGCAGGUGAUUAAGUUGGUUGGUUAGAGGUGUAGGAACUUGAGGGAAUUUCUCCUGAUGCUCAUACUCUCUCUAUGAAGUAGGAGGUGAAGUUAUUUGCUGAGAGUCAGGAGGAAGGAAAGAAGGGCUAUCAUAUUCACAGUAGAAGAUAUCCUAAAAAGACAUGUAGUCAGUGAGGAAGAGGAUUAACAGAGACCAGAUCAUCUUCAGCUCCAACUAAGAUGGCAGAGAGCUGCCACCUGUGGCCCUUUGAUGCCAGGUAAUUUCU